rnacentral:rRNA from 1 species
GACGAACGCUGGCGGUGUGCCUAAUACAUGCAAGUCGAGCGCUGAAGGUUUGUACUUGUACUAACAGGAUGAGCAGCUAACGGGUGAGUACCGCGUGGGGCAUCUGCUUUUGUGCGGGGGACAAUAUUUUGAAACGAAUGCUACUACUGCCUCAAACCUUUAACCACUAGAUUUAAGUUUGAAAGAUACAAUUGCAUAAUUCAUAGAUGAUCCCGCGUUGUAUUAGCUAGUUGGUGAGGUAAAGGCUCACCAAGGCGAUGAUACAUAGCCGACCUGAGAGGGUGAUCGGCCACAUUGGGACUGAGACACGGCCCAAACUCCUACGGGAGGCAGCAGUAGGGAAUCUUCGGCAAUGGACGAAAGUCUGACCGAGCAACGCCGCGUGAGUGAAGAAGGUUUUCGGAUCGUAAAACUCUGUUGGUAGAGAAGAACGUUGGUGAGAGUGGAAAGCUCAUCAAGUGACGGUAACUACCCAGAAAGGGACGGCUAACUACGUG